UUUCCGUAGGUGAACCUGCGGAAGGAUCAUUAUUGGAUUUUGAAACUUCAGGCUGCUGCUGGCUCUCCUCGGAGGGCAUGUGCACGCUUGUUGUCCAUUAUUUCUCCCACUGUGCACAAAUUGUAGACCUUUCAGUAGGCCUAUGUUGUUUUCACAAUCUCUGAAUGUAAUAGAAUGGUUUUGAAUCUUGGGAAAUACAAUACAACUUUCAGCAACGGAUCUCUUGGCUCUC
rnacentral:misc_RNA from 1 species